AAAAUGAUAGUAUGGUUGAGAUCACAUACAUAUCAUUUUCUCGCUACACUCUACACAAAUGACUAGUCGACGGAGUUUGGUGGUAUUUGUAACCAUGGAAGGUGUUGUGUCGAUAAUGAUAUAAUUACCGCUAUGAUUCGAUAUCAUUUAACUUUUGUUGGACGGAGUCUUAAUUAGAUGUUGCAUCUUGGGAUCAAUGUGGCC
rnacentral:lncRNA from 1 species